rnacentral:rRNA from 1 species
CCUACGGGAGGCAGCAGUGGGGAAUAUUGGACAAUGGGGGGAACCCUGAUCCAGCCAUGCCGCGUGUGUGAAGAAGGCCCUCGGGUUGUAAAGCACUUUCAGUGAGGAAGAACGCCUGGUGGUUAAUACCCAUCAGGAAAGACAUCACUCACAGAAGAAGCACCGGCUAACUCCGUGCCAGCAGCCGCGGUAAUACGGAGGGUGCGAGCGUUAAUCGGAAUUACUGGGCGUAAAGCGCGCGUAGGUGGCUUGAUAAGCCGGUUGUGAAAGCCCCGGGCUCAACCUGGGAACGGCAUCCGGAACUGUCAAGCUAGAGUGCAGGAGAGGAAAGUAGAAUUCCCGGUGUAGCGGUGAAAUGCGUAGAGAUCGGGAGGAAUACCAGUGGCGAAGGCGGCCUUCUGGACUGACACUGACACUGAGGUGCGAAAGCGUGGGUAGCAAACAGGAUUAGAUACCCUAGUAGUC